AACGAACGCUGGCGGCGUGCCUAACACAUGCAAGUCGCACGAGAAAGGGGUAGCAAUACUCCGAGUAAAGUGGCGCACGGGUGAGUAACACGUAGGUAACCUGCCUCCGAGACCGGGACAACCUGUCGAAAGACGGGCUAAUACCGGAUAAGACCACGGAAGCUUCGGCUUCAGCGGUCAAAGAUGGCCUCUGCAUGCAAGCUAUCGCUUAGAGAUGGGCCUGCGCACCAUUAGCUAGUUGGUGGGGUAACGGCCUACCAAGGCAAAGAUGGUUAGCUGGUCUGAGAGGAUGAUUAGCCACACUGGAACUGAGACACGGUCCAGACUCCUACGGGAGGCAGCAGUGGGGAAUCUUGCGCAAUGGGCGAAAGCCUGACGCAGCAACGCCGCGUGGGUGAUGAAGGCCUUCGGGUCGUAAAGCCCUGUCGGGAGGAACGAAUGCUUCCGCCACUAAUACUGGCGGAAGGUGACGGUACCUUCAAAGGAAGCACCGGCUAACUCCG
rnacentral:rRNA from 1 species